rnacentral:rRNA from 1 species
CGAUGAAGGCCUUCGGGUUGUAAAACCUGUCACAUGGGAAGAAUUUUUGACGGUCCAUGAGAGGAAGCCACGGCUAACUACGUGCCACAGCCGCGUAAUACUAGGUGGCAAGCGUUGUUCGGAUUUAUUGGGCGUAAAGGGUCCGCAGGGGGUUUGCUAAGUCUGAUGUGAAAUCCCGGGGCUCAACCCCGGAACUGCAUUGGAAACUGGUGAACUACUGUAUCUGAGAGGUAAAUGGAAUUCCUGGUGUAGNGGUGGAAUGCGUAUAUAUCAGGAAGAACACCCAGAGCGAAGGCAUUUAUGGACGAUACUGACCCUCAGGACGAAAGCGUAGGUGCAAACAGGAUUAAAUACCCGGUAGUCUACCCGUAAACGUUGUGAACUUGUUGUGGGGGGAUUUAGCCCCUUCUGUGACGCAGCUAACGCUUUAAUUCACCGCCUGGGGGACUACGCCGCAAGGCUAAAACUAAUA